CCCAGCGGUUCCAGACGUUCCAUUCCUUUGCUAACUCUCCCUCGCUAUAAGCUACGUGGGCAUAAGCCUCCUCCUGAAUGCCUGGAAUACUGCGGGCACUGCUCGCUGAAACUGAUGUAUCAAUGUUAGUGCACGCUUUCCAGGGAAAAGCAAGAACUCAGUGGAAGCACAGUAUUUCACCUGCUAUGGCAAACCAUCCAGGUACUUCAGGAAUUUGCUCGUGCUUCAUUAUGAAGCCCAUCAAACAGCAACCACGCUCACAACGCACUGCAAGUAGAAACACCAGCUUCCACCAAGCAGCAUUCUGAAGCACGUGUACACCAUUUGCACAUCAGUCCUCAAGGUUAACGGGAUAUGUUUAGCCCCACAAACCCAAAAUAUAUUAAUGUCUUUUUAUUUUAAUCCCGUGAUGUCACCCCACAUCGCCAACCUUUGACUCUGC
rnacentral:lncRNA from 1 species